UACGUAGGGGGCAAGCGUUGUCCGGAUUUAUUGGGCGUAAAGAGCUCGUAGGCGGCUCAGUAAGUCAGGUGUGAAACCUCCAGGCUCAACCUGGAGACGCCACCUGAUACUGCUGUGGCUAGAGUCCGGUAGGGGAGCGUGGAAUUCCUGGUGUAGCGGUGAAAUGCGCAGAUAUCAGGAAGAACACCAAUGGCGAAGGCAGCUCUCUGGGACGGUACUGACGCUGAGACGCGAAAGCGUGGGGAGCGAACAGG
rnacentral:rRNA from 1 species